UACGUAGGUGACCAGCGUUGUCCGGAUUUACUGGGCGUAAAGAGCGCGCAGGCGGUCGUUCAAGUCGAGUGUGAAAGCCCCCGGCUCAACUGGGGAGGGUCACUCGAUACUGAUCGACUUGAAGGCAGGAGAGGGAAGCGGAAUUCCCGGUGUAGUGGUGAAAUGCGUAGAUAUCGGGAGGAACACCAGUGGCGAAAGCGGCCACCUGGACUGCACCUGACGCUGACACGCGAAAGCUAGGGGAGCGAACGGG
rnacentral:rRNA from 1 species